AUCCCAUGAUGAGGACAGUCGAGAGUGUAUUCUUGGAGUUUCCCCCAAGCUUCUGGGAUGGAUUCCAUCCCCAUCUACUGGAAACAUGAUAUUCUUCCACGCAGGGC